GUUAGUGGGUUUACUCACUAGUGGCGCAGCUAACGCUUUAAGCAUUCCGCCUGGGGAGUACGGUCGCAAGAUUAAAACUCAAAGGAAUUGACGGGGGCCCGCACAAGCGGUGGAGCAUGUGGUUUAAUUCGACGCAACGCGCAGAACCUUACCAGCCCUUGACAUCCCGGUCGCGGACUCCAGAGACGGAGUUCUUCAGUUCGGCUGGACCGGAGACAGGUGCUGCAUGGCUGUCGCCAGCUCGUGUCGUGAGAUGUUGGGUUAAGUCCCGCAACGAGCGCAACCCCCGUCCUUAGUUGCUACCAUUUAGUUGAGCACUCUAAGGAGACUGCCGGUGAUAAGCCGCGAGGAAGGUGGGGAUGACGUCAAGUCCUCAGGCCCUUACACG
rnacentral:rRNA from 2 species